GUCUUGCUUUGUUGCCCAGGCUGGAGUGCAGUGGCACGAUUUUGGCUCACUGCAACCUCCACCUCCUGGGUUCAAGCAGUUCUCCUGCCUCAGCCUCCCAAGUAGCUGGGAUUAUAGGCGCACGCCACCACUUGUGGCUGAACACACACACACACACUUUUUUUUUUUUUUUUAGUAGAGACAGGGUUUCACCAUGUUGGCCAGGCUGGUCUCGAACUCCUGACCUUGUGAUCCACCCGCCUCAGCCUCCCAAAAUGCUGGGAUUACAGGUGUGAGCCACUGUGUCCAGUCCAUCUCUCUUUUUAUUGGAAACAUAUGCCCUGUCACUUUGUUCCCAGAAAUAAACCGUGAAGUGUCACAGAGAAAAUAUAAAUUCUCCCACCCAAUAUCCAGUCUGGUUGAAUUUAUUCAUUCCAGGAUAUCUGAGUCCCCUGCCAUGCAAACUCAUAGCCUCGUGUGGUAUAUUCCACCUUUCCAGAGGGCAUAAGUGCUCACCUGUGUCCUGUUCAUUCUGGGCACUGAAUUGUGUGCCAUUGGUCACAUGAUAUCACCCAGUCCAGAGGCUUCCCUGUAAAUACUUGAAAUGGCUCCUUAAUAGAGAACUUAAGAGAGGCGUCAGUGAUGCUCCAAAUGAGACGUGAGACCCAGCUGAGGCCUGAGACAUGAAUGAGACAUGACGGGGAUUUAUCUAAUUUAGUUAGCACAUCAUCAGAGAUCUGCGGAGGCCUCUCCUGCGGGCACCCGUGCCUGGCCCAGCGGCACCUCUCCCUGCGGAGGCCUCUCCUGCGGGCACCCGUGCCUGGCCCAGCGGCACCGCUCCCUGCGGAGGCCUCCCCUGCGCGCACCCUCGCCUGAUCCAGCGGUACCUCUCCCUGCGGAGGCCUCUCCUGCGCGCACCCUCGCCUGAUCCAGCGGUACCUCUCCCUGCGGAGGCCUCUCCUGCGGGCACCCUCGCCUGAUCCAGCGGUACCUCUCCCUGCGGAGGCCUCCCCUGCGCGCACCCUCGCCUGAUCCAGCGGUACCUCUCCCUGCGGAGGCCUCCCCUGCGCGCACCCUCGCCUGAUCCAGCGGUACCUCUCCCUGCGGAGGCCUCCCCUGCGCGCACCCUCGCCUGAUCCAGCGGUACCUCUCCCUGCGGAGGCCUCCCCUGCGCGCACCCUCGCCUGAUCCAGCGGUACCUCUCCCUGCGGAGGCCUCUCCUGCGCGCACCCUCGCCUGAUCCAGCGGUACCUCUCCCUGCGGAGGCCUCUCCUGCGGGCAGCCGUGCCUGGCCCAGCGGCAUCUCUCCCUGGCGUCAGCAGCUUUCCUCUCCGUUCCCCUCCGCCCCGUGGUGUCGUCACUUCUCGGCUGCUCACGCUGCGACGUUGUUUUGUUGGGUCGGAUCUCUGCAUCGGUCUGGGCAUGGGUAACUACUCAGGAUUAAUGUCAGAAGUUGAGUUUUUGUUGGUGACACUGACAAGCUUUGUUUCCCUCCCUGUGCUCCACACGGGCUCUGGUCCUCUAACACAAUCUUCCUGGGUCCCGUGCUCUGCAGGGCCAGGUCAGAUGAUUUCCUGAGCAGUGCGUAUGUCCUGUGAUGUCCUGUGUUGCUGGAAUGGAGUGGAUUCUUCUCUCUCAGUGAGGAAUAGCUUUCUGAUUGUGAUCUCAGUGGAAGUCACGUGCUGUACCCACCACUGGGCAGACCUUGCUGGCCACGGCCUCCACGUGCAGUGACCGUUCUCUUGGCAGCGUCUCAGGCUGUCUGGACCAGCUGUCACAGUCUCGCUGUGGGUGAGUCACCUGAGGCACUGUAUGGCGGAUAGAAGGAUUCAUUGCCCUGGGAGGUUUUGCCUGGCAUUCUGCAGAAGCAUUGCUGUAUCUUACCAGACAGGAAUACAGGCAAUGCUGUGAAGCGUCAGAGGGAAUUCCGUUGGUUACUUUCCCAUACGGUCUUGUUCAGCUGCUUGUUCUCAGAAAAGUGUGUUUGUUGGUGGAGGAGAAUGCGACCAAGGAGACCAUCCUUUUCAUGAAGGCACAAACGUGAAUACAUAUGUGACUUUUAAGCCUUUAAAUAAAAACCCAAAGCACAUUUA
rnacentral:lncRNA from 1 species